AUUGAACGCUGGCGGCAGGCCUAACACAUGCAAGUCGAGCGGAUGAAGGGAGCUUGCUCCUGGAUUCAGCGGCGGACGGGUGAGUAAUGCCUAGGAAUCUGCCUGGUAGUGGGGGAUAACGUCCGGAAACGGGCGCUAAUACCGCAUACGUCCUGAGGGAGAAAGUGGGGGAUCUUCGGACCUCACGCUAUCAGAUGAGCCUAGGUCGGAUUAGCUAGUUGGUGGGGUAAAGGCCUACCAAGGCGACGAUCCGUAACUGGUCUGAGAGGAUGAUCAGUCACACUGGAACUGAGACACGGUCCAGACUCCUACGGGAGGCAGCAGUGGGGAAAAUUGGACAAAGGGCGAAAGCCUGAUCCAGCCAUGCCGCGUGUGUGAAGAAGGUCUUCGGAGUGUAAAGCACUUUAAGUUGGGAGGAAGGGCAGUAAGUUAAUACCUUGCUGUUUUGACGUUACCAACAGAAUAAGCACCGGCUAACUUCGUG
rnacentral:rRNA from 1 species